UCGUAACAAGGUCUCCGUAGGUGAACCUGCGGAGGGAUCAUUACACAAUAACCAGGCGGGCUGGACACCCCCCGCUGGGCACUGCUUCACGGCGUGCGCGGCGGGGCCGGCCCUGCUGAAUUAUUCACCCGUGUCUUUUGCGUACUUCUUGUUUCCUGGGUGGGCUCGCCCGCCCUCAGGACCAACCACAAACCUUUUGCAAUAGCAAUCAGCGUCAGUAACAACGUAAUUAAUUACAACUUUCAACAACGGAUCUCUUGGUUCUGGCAUCGAUGAAGAACGCAGCGAAAUGCGAUACGUAGUGUGAAUUGCAGAAUUCAGUGAAUCAUCGAAUCUUUGAACGCACAUUGCGCCCUUUGGUAUUCCAAAGGGCAUGCCUGUUCGAGCGUCAUUUGUACCCUCAAGCUUUGCUUGGUGUUGGGCGUCUUUUGUCUCCAGUUCGCUGGAGACUCGCCUUAAAGUCAUUGGCAGCCGGCCUACUGGUUUCGGAGCGCAGCACAAGUCGCGCUCUUUGCCAGCCAAGGUCAGCGUCCAGCAAGCCUUUUUUUCAACCUUUGACCUCGGAUCAGGUAGGGAUACCCGCUGAACUUAAGCAUAUC
rnacentral:misc_RNA from 1 species